GCUACACAGCGAUGUGAUGCUAAUCUCCAAACCAUGUCUCAGUUCGGAUCGGAGUCUGCAACUCGACUCCGUGAAGCUGGAUUCGCUAGUAAUCGCGCAUCAGCCAUGGCGCGGUGAAUACGUUCCCGGGCCUUGUACACACCGCCCGUCAAGCCAUGGGAGCCGGGGGUACCUGAAGUCCGUAACCGCGAGGAUCGGCCUAGGGUAAAACUGGUGACUGGGGCUAAGUCGUAACAAGGUAAC
rnacentral:rRNA from 1 species